rnacentral:hammerhead_ribozyme from 1 species
AUCCAGCUGACGAGUACCAAAUAGAACGGAACGCGCGUCCUGGAU